CGGUGGCGGGGGUGCUAAUACAUGCAAGUAGAACGCUGAAGAGAGGAGCUUGCUCUUCUUGGAUGAGUUGCGAACGGGUGAGUAACGCGUAGGUAACCUGCCUUGUAGCGGGGGAUAACUAUUGGAAACGAUAGCUAAUACCGCAUAACAAUGGAUGACACAUGUCAUUUAUUUGAAAGGGGCAAUUGCUCCACUACAAGAUGGACCUGCGUUGUAUUAGCUAGUAGGUGAGGUAACGGCUCACCUAGGCGACGAUACAUAGCCGACCUGAGAGGGUGAUCGGCCACACUGGGACUGAGACACGGCCCAGACUCCUACGGGAGGCAGCAGUAGGGAAUCUUCGGCAAUGGGGGCAACCCUGACCGAGCAACGCCGCGUGAGUGAAGAAGGUUUUCGGAUCGUAAAGCUCUGUUGUAAGUCAAGAACGAGUGUGAGAGUGGAAAGUUCACACUGUGACGGUAGCUUACCAGAAAGGGACGGCUAACUACGUGCCAGCAGCCGCGGUAAUACGUAGGUCCCGAGCGUUGUCCGGAUUUAUUGGGCGUAAAGCGAGCGCAGGCGGUUUGAUAAGUCUGAAGUUAAAGGCUGUGGCUCAACCAUAGUUCGCUUUGGAAACUGUCAAACUUGAGUGCAGAAGGGGAGAGUGGAAUUCCAUGUGUAGCGGUGAAAUGCGUAGAUAUAUGGAGGAACACCGGUGGCGAAAGCGGCUCUCUGGUCUGUAACUGACGCUGAGGCUCGAAAGCGUGGGGAGCGAACAGGAUUAGAUACCCUGGUAGUCCACGCCGUAAACGAUGAGUGCUAGGUGUUGGAUCCUUUCCGGGAUUCAGUGCCGCAGCUAACGCAUUAAGCACUCCGCCUGGGGAGUACGACCGCAAGGUUGAAACUCAAAGGAAUUGACGGGGGCCCGCACAAGCGGUGGAGCAUGUGGUUUAAUUCGAAGCAACGCGAAGAACCUUACCAGGUCUUGACAUCCCGAUGCUAUUUCUAGAGAUAGAAAGUUACUUCGGUACAUCGGUGACAGGUGGUGCAUGGUUGUCGUCAGCUCGUGUCGUGAGAUGUUGGGUUAAGUCCCGCAACGAGCGCAACCCCUAUUGUUAGUUGCCAUCAUUCAGUUGGGCACUCUAGCGAGACUGCCGGUAAUAAACCGGAGGAAGGUGGGGAUGACGUCAAAUCAUCAUGCCCCUUAUGACCUGGGCUACACACGUGCUACAAUGGUUGGUACAACGAGUUGCGAGUCGGUGACGGCAAGCUAAUCUCUUAAAGCCAAUCUCAGUUCGGAUUGUAGGCUGCAACUCGCCUACAUGAAGUCGGAAUCGCUAGUAAUCGCGGAUCAGCACGCCGCGGUGAAUACGUUCCCGGGCCUUGUACACACCGCCCGUCACACCACGAGAGUUUGUAACACCCGAAGUCGGUGAGGUAACCUUUUGGAGCCAGCCGCCUAAGGUGGAUAAAAUGG
rnacentral:rRNA from 1 species